AUGCAGAGGCCGGUGAGCUCCCCGUCGCUGCCCGCUUUCGAGGACGAGGGGGAGGACCUGGAGGCCAAGCCGGAGAAGGCGCCCGCCGUCCGGUCCGUCCACCUCGUGCCGCUCAUCGUCCUGCUCUGCUUCGUCGUCCUCUUCAUCUGCUCCCACGUCCCCUCCCCCUCUGAUAUGUCGAGCUUCGGAGGGAAGGCCGGGGGACGGAAGCCCAAGCUGCUCUGA
rnacentral:rRNA from 1 species